GGAGUAAGUAGCUACAUUUCUUAAAGCUCACAGGACAGUAGCAGAAGAAACAGGAAGAAGGGCAAAGAGAACAAGGAGGAGGAAGAGGAACAGGAACCUUGGAUAACUCAGGCUUCCAGUAUUUACAGGGUCAGACCCAGCUCCCUCCCACAGUGGUGAGAUGCCUCUGGCUCCAGGGUGACACCAACCCAGAUCUGCCAAGCCAAAUGAGAUCUUCAUGCAUCUGUAAACCGACUGGCAAUGUGAAGGUUUCAUUCAGGCAACACAAGAGAAAACCAGAGGGUGGGGUCCUGUGAUGCUGGGUAGCCUUGCAAAGCCUUGCAGACAGGGGACUGAAAGGCCUGAGAGGC
rnacentral:lncRNA from 1 species